AGAGUUUGAUCCUGGCUCAGAUUGAACGCUGGCGGAAUGCUUUACACAUGCAAGUCGAACGGUAGAGGGGGCAACCCCUUGAGAGUGGCGAACGGGUGAGUAAUAUAUCGGAACGUGCCCAGUCGUGGGGGAUAACGUAGUGAAAAUUACGCUAAUACCGCAUACGAUCUAAGGAUGAAAGCGGGGGAUCGCAAGACCUCGCGCGAUUGGAGCGGCCGAUAUCAGAUUAGGUAGUUGGUAGGGUAAAGGCCUACCAAGCCAACGAUCUGUAGCUGGUCUGAGAGGACGACCAGCCACACUGGAACUGAGACACGGUCCAGACUCCUACGGGAGGCAGCAGUGGGGAAUUUUGGACAAUGGGCGAAAGCCUGAUCCAGCCAUUCCGCGUGCAGGAUGAAGGCCCUCGGGUUGUAAACUGCUUUUGUACAGAACGAAAAGGUCUCUAUUAAUACUAGGGGCUCAUGACGGUACUGUAAGAAUAAGCACCGGCUAACUACGUGCCAGCAGCCGCGGUAAUACGUAGGGUGCAAGCGUUAAUCGGAAUUACUGGGCGUAAAGCGUGCGCAGGCGGUUAUAUAAGUCAGAUGUGAAAUCCCCGGGCUCAACCUGGGAACUGCAUUUGAGACUGUAUAGCUAGAGUACGGUAGAGGGGGAUGGAAUUCCGCGUGUAGCAGUGAAAUGCGUAGAUAUGCGGAGGAACACCGAUGGCGAAGGCAAUCCCCUGGACCUGUACUGACGCUCAUGCACGAAAGCGUGGGGAGCAAACAGGAUUAGAUACCCUGGUAGUCCACGCCCUAAAC
rnacentral:rRNA from 1 species